GAUCAUGGCUCAGGACGAACGCUGGCGGCGUGCUUAACACAUGCAAGUCGAACGGAGCACCCUUGAAUGAGACUUCGGUCAAAGGAAAGGAAUGCUUAGUGGCGGACUGGUGAGUAACGCGUGAGGAACCUGCCUUUCAGAGGGGGACAACAGUUGGAAACGACUGCUAAUACCGCAUGACACAUUGGGGUCGCAUGGCCUUGAUGUCAAAGAUUUAUCGCUGAAAGAUGG
rnacentral:rRNA from 1 species